UACGUAGGAGGCGAGCGUUGUCCGGAAUUACUGGGCGUAAAGAGCGCGUAGGCGGCGCUGUACGACCGCUGUGAAAGCCCCCCGGCUCAACUGGGGAGGGUCAGCGGUAACGGUAGUGCUACGAGUGCAGGAGAGGGAAGUGGAACUCCGGGAGUAGCGGUGAAAUGCGUAGAUACCCGGAGGAACACCAGUGGCGAAGGCGGCUUCCUGGUCUGCGACUGACGCUGUGGCGCGAAAGCUAGGGGAGCAAACGGG
rnacentral:rRNA from 1 species